rnacentral:rRNA from 1 species
UGGGGAAUCUUGGACAAUGGGGGCAACCCUGAUCCAGCGACGCCGCGUGGGUGAUGAAGGCCUUCGGGUUGUAAAGCCCUUUUCUCGGUGAGGAUGAUGACGGUAGCCGAGGAAUAAGCACCGGCUAACUCCGUGCCAGCAGCCGCGGUAAUACGGAGGAGGCAAGCGUUAUCCGGAAUCAUUGGGCGUAAAGCGUUCGCAGGCGGCGAUUCAAGUCUGCUGUCAAAGCCCGCAGCUCAACUGCGGACAGGCAGUGGAAACUGAAUCGCUAGAGUGCGGCAGGGGUAGAGGGAAUUCCCGGUGUAGCGGUGAAAUGCGUAGAUAUCGGGAAGAACACCAGUGGCGAAAGCGCUCUACUGGGCCGCAACUGACGCUCAGGGACGAAAGCUAGGGGAGCGAAAGGGAUUAGAUACCCCCGUAGUCC